rnacentral:rRNA from 1 species
UACGAAGGGGGCUAGCGUUGCUCGGAAUCACUGGGCGUAAAGGGUGCGUAGGCGGGUCUUUAAGUCAGUGGUGAAAUCCCGGGGCUCAACCCCGGAACUGCCAUUGACUACUAUUAGUCUUGAAUACUGUGGAGGUGAGCGGAAUGUGUCAUGUAGCGGUGAAAUGCUUAGAGAUGACACAGAACACCGAUUGCGAAGGCAGCUCACUACGCAAUUAUUGACGCUGAGGCACGAAAGCGUGGGGAUCAAACAGGG